rnacentral:tRNA from 1 species
AGCGGAAAAAGGGACUU